rnacentral:lncRNA from 1 species
GGGGCCAGUUAUAGAGAACAUAUCUCAUCGAUGCGGCGGCUUCCUGAGGCAGCUCUCGUUGCGUGGCUGCGAGAGUAUAGGGGAUGGCUCCAUGAAGACACUAGCACAGUCGUGUCCAAACAUAGAAGAUUUGAAUUUGAAUAAAUGCAAGAAGAUCACCGACCAGACCUGCCAAGCUCUGGGGAGGAGGUGCAACAAACUACAAAG